GAUGAACGCUGGCUACAGGCUUAACACAUGCAAGUCGAGGGGAAACGACGGGGAAGCUUGCUUCCCCGGGCGUCGACCGGCGCACGGGUGAGUAACGCGUAUCCAACCUGCCUCUGACUGAGGGAUAACCCGUCGAAAGUCGGCCUAAUACCUCAUGGUAUCGUCUGCGGGCAUCCAACGACGAUUAAAGAUUUCAUCGGUCAGGGAUGGGGAUGCGUCUGAUUAGCUUGUUGGCGGGGUAACGGCCCACCAAGGCUACGAUCAGUAGGGGUUCUGAGAGGAAGGUCCCCCACAUUGGAACUGAGACACGGUCCAAACUCCUACGGGAGGCAGCAGUGAGGAAUAGUGGUCAAUGGGCGAGAGCCUGAACCAGCCAAGUAGCGUGCAGGAAGACGGCCCUAUGGGUUGUAAACUGCUUUUAUGCGGGGAUAAAGUGAGGGACGUGUCCCUCAUUGCAGGUACCGCACGAAUAAGGACCGGCUAAUUCCGUG
rnacentral:rRNA from 1 species